AAAAGAAGUGCUUACUGCAUUUUUUCUUACACAUGUGUUUUUCUUUUUUUGAAAACUUUGCUUUGGUAGGCCUUCUAUAUGGGGCCUGCCAGAGAUUAAACUCAACCAAAUUUUAUUUAAUGUCAACCGAUUAUUUAAUAGUCAAAACUUUCAACAACGGAUCUCUUGGUUCUCGCAUCGAUGAAGAACGCAGCGAAAUGCGAUAAGUAAUAUGAAUUGCAGAUAUUCGUGAAUCAUCGAAUCUUUGAACGCACAUUGCGCCCUUUGGUAUUCCAAAGGGCAUGCCUGUUUGAGCGUCAUUUCUCCCUCAAACCCUCGGGUUUGGUGUUGAGCGAUACGCUGGGUUUGCUUGAAAGAAAGGCGGAGUAUAAACUAAUGGAUAGGUUUUUUCCACUCAUUGGUACAAACUCCAAAACUUCUUCCAAAUUCGACCUCAAAUCAGGUAGGACUACCCGCUGAACUUAAGCAUAUCAAUAAGCGGAGGAA
rnacentral:rRNA from 1 species